GGCAACGUGGCUGAGUGGUUAAAGCGUAAGACUAGAAUGUACGGAAAGCGUAUGUUUAGACAUCUUAUCCCUUCGGGGUCGUAGGUUCAAAUCCUGCCGUUGUCG